rnacentral:rRNA from 1 species
CCUACGGGUGGCAGCAGUGAGGAAUAUUGGGCAAUGGGGGCAACCCUGACCCAGCCAUGCCGCGGGAGUGAAGAAGGUCUUCGGAUUGUACAGCUCUUUCGGACGUGACGAUGAUGACGGUAGCGUCUAAAGAAGAACCGGCAAACUCCGUGCCAGCAGCCGCGGUAAUACGAAGGGUGCGAGCGUUGUUCGGAUUUACUGGGUGUAAAGGGAGUGUAGGCGGGAAGGUAAGACAGCGGUGAAAUGUCAGGGCUCAACCCCGGGACUGCAAUUGAGACUGUUUAUCUAGAGUGAUGGAGAGGAAAGCGGAAUACCGGGUGUAGAGGUGAAAUGCGUAGAUAUAGGGUGGAACACCAGUGGCGAAGGCGGAUUGCUGGACAGUAACUGACGCUGAGGCGCGAAAGCGUGGGGAGCAAACAGGAUUAGAUACCCCUGUAGUC